UACGGAGGGUGCGAGCGUUGUCCGGAAUCACUGGGCGUAAAGGGCGCGUAGGUGGCGUGACAAGUCACUUGUGAAAUCUCUGAGCUUAACUCAGAACGGCCAAGUGAAACUGUUGUGCUAGAGUGCAGAAGGGGCAAUCGGAAUUCUUGGUGUAGCGGUGGAAUGCGUAGAUAUCAAGAGGAACACCUGAGGUGAAGACGGGUUGCUGGGCUGACACUGACGCUGAGGCGCGAAAGCCAGGGGAGCAAACGGG
rnacentral:rRNA from 1 species